ACCUGCGGAGGGAUCAUUACAGAGUUGCAAAACUCCCUAAACCAUUGUGAACGUUACCUAAACCGUUGCUUCGGCGGGCGGCCCGGGUCCUUCCCGGCGCCCCUCGGCCCUCGCGGGCGCCCGCCGGAGGUAAACCAAACUAUUGCAUUGUAUGGCCUCUCUGAGUCUUCUGUACUGAAUAAGUCAAAACUUUCAACAACGGAUCUCUUGGUUCUGGCAUCGAUGAAGAACGCAGCGAAAUGCGAUAAGUAAUGUGAAUUGCAGAAUUCAGUGAAUCAUCGAAUCUUUGAACGCACAUUGCGCCCGCCAGUAUUCUGGCGGGCAUGCCUGUUCGAGCGUCAUUUCAACCAUCAAGCCCCGGGCUUGUGUUGGGGACCUGCGGCUGCCGCAGGCCCUGAAAUGCAGUGGCGGGCUCGCUGUCACUCCGAGCGUAGUAGUUACAUCUCGCUCUGGGCGUGCUGCGGGUUCCGGCCGUUAAAAGCCUUAUUACCCAAGGUGA
rnacentral:misc_RNA from 1 species